GACGAACGCUGGCGGCGUGCUUAACACAUGCAAGUCGAACGGAAAGGCCCUGCUUUUGUGGGGUGCUCGAGUGGCGAACGGGUGAGUAACACGUGAGUAACCUGCCCUUGACUUUGGGAUAACUUCAGGAAACUGGGGCUAAUACCGGAUAGGAGCUCCUGCUGCAUGGUGGGGGUUGGAAAGUUUCGGCGGUUGGGGAUGGACUCGCGGCUUAUCAGCUUGUUGGUGGGGUAGUGGCUUACCAAGGCUUUGACGGGUAGCCGGCCUGAGAGGGUGACCGGCCACAUUGGGACUGAGAUACGGCCCAGACUCCUACGGGGGGCAGCAGUGGGGAAUAUUGCACAAUGGGCGGAAGCCUGAUGCAGCAACGCCGCGUGCGGGAGGACGGCCUUCGGGUUGUAAACCGCUUUCGCCUGUGACGAAGCGUGAGUGACGGUAAUGGGUAAAGAAGCACCGGCUAACUACGUGC
rnacentral:rRNA from 1 species